GGGUCCGGACACACUGAGGAUUGACAGGCAAUUAUUGCUAACAGUUUCUUUUUUUAAAAGUACUGUUGCAACAACAAAUAUGCUAGUCCUUUCAUGAUUAUGUGAUAGGUGGUGCAUGGCCGUUCUUAGUUCGUGGAGCGAUCUGUCUGCUUAAUUGCGUUUCAUUAUGGACCAUGUUAUAACAUGUACUAUCUCUUGAUUUUCAAAUUUUCAUUUAUUUGAGAUUUGUUAUAAAGAAGGAGUUUUGGUGCAAUUGGUCCUGAAAGCAACGAACGUGACCGCAUCCUCUUGUUGCCUUUUUAACUUGGCAUUUUUUUUAAUUUAUUUUAACAUUUUUGUCAUAACAUAAGAGGCUUUCAGAAAACUAGAGGGACCGCUGCGACUUUUUUAAACCAGAGGAAGGUUGCGGCAAUAACAGGUCUGUGAUGCCCUUAGAUGUUCCGGGCUGCACACGUGCUACAAUGAUUAUUGCAGUGAGCAUCUCAUUUUAUUUUUUGUGCUUGUCUUGUCUGCGAGUUUAUUCUCAACGACGACAGCCUUAGCCUGCUUCGAAAGUUCGCAGGU
rnacentral:rRNA from 1 species